rnacentral:rRNA from 1 species
UAGGGAAUCUUCCGCAAUGGUCGCAAGUCUGACGGAGCAACGCCGCGUGAGUGAAGAAGGAUUUCGGUUCGUAAAACUCUGUUGUUAGAGAAGAACAGCGCAUAGAGUAACUGUUAUGCGUGUGACGGUAUCUAACCAGAAAGCCACGGCUAACUACGUGCCAGCAGCCGCGGUAAUACGUAGGUCCCGAGCGUUGUCCGGAUUUAUUGGGCGUAAAGCGAGCGCAGGCGGUUAGAAAAGUCUGAAGUGAAAGGCAGUGGCUCAACCAUUGUAGGCUUUGGAAACUGUUUAACUUGAGUGCAGAAGGGGAGAGUGGAAUUCCAUGUGUAGCGGUGAAAUGCGUAGAUAUAUGGAGGAACACCGGUGGCGAAAGCCGCUCUCUGGUCUGUAACUGACGCUGAGGCUCGAAAGCGUGGGGAGCGAACAGG